rnacentral:rRNA from 1 species
CCUACGGGUGGCAGCAGUGAGGAAUAUUGGACAAUGGUCGCGAGCCUGAACCAGCCAAGUAGCGUGAAGGAGGACUGCCCUACGGAUUGUAAACCUCUUUUGUCAGGGAAUAAAGUGAGGCACGUGUGCCUUUUUGUGUGUACUUUAUGAAUAAGCAUCGGCUAACUCCGUGCCAGCAGCCGCGGUAAUACGGAGGAUGCGAGCGUUGUCCGGAUUUAAUGGGUUUAAAGGGUGCGGAGGUGGGUUGUUAAGUCAGGCGUGAAAGUUUGCGGCUCAAACGUAGACUGGCAUUUGAUACUGGCAGUCUGGAGUACAGGAGAGGUAGGCGGAAUGCGUGGUGUAGCGGUGAAAUGCUUAGAUAUCACGCAGAACUCCGAUUGCGAAGGCAGCAUACCAGACUGCAACUGACACUGAUGCACGAAAGUGUGGGUAUCAAACAGGAUUAGAUACCCUAGUAGUC